AUUGAACGCUGGCGGCAGGCCUAACACAUGCAAGUCGAACGAGUGGCGGACGGGUUAGUAAGGUCUGGGAAACUGCCUGAUGGAGGGGGAUAACUACUGGAAACUGUAGCUAAUACCGCAUACCAUCUGAUGUGCCCAGAUGGGAUUAUCUAGUAGGUGGGGUAACGGCUCACCUAGGCGACGAUCCCUAGCUGUUCUGAGAGGAUGACCAGCCACACUGGAACUGAGACACGGUCCAGAGUCCGACGGGAGGCAGCAGUGGGGAAUAUUGGACAAUGGGCGCAAGCCUGAUGCAGCCAUGCCGCGUGUAUGAAGAAGGCCUUCGGUUUGGAAAGUACUUUCAGCGGGGAGGCGUUACCCGCAGAAGAAGCACCGGCUAACUCCGUGCCAGCAGCCGCGGUAAUUC
rnacentral:rRNA from 1 species